rnacentral:rRNA from 1 species
CCCUUAGAUGUUCUGGGCCGCACGCGCGCUACACUGACGAAUGCAACGAGCUUAUAACCUUGGCCGAAAGGUCUGGGUAAUCUCCAAAUUUCGUCGUGAUGGGGAUAGAUUAUUGCAAUUAUUAAUCUUCAACGAGGAAUGCCUAGUAAGCGCGAAUCAUCAGUUCGCGUUGAUUACGUCCCUGCCCUUUGUACACACCGCCCGUCGCUCCUACCGAUUGAAUGGUCCGGUGAAAAUUUCGGAUAGUGGCGAUGCUGGCGGUUCGCCGCCGGCGCUGCCGCUAGAAGAUCUUUAAACCUUAUCAUUUAGAGGAAGGAGAAGUCGUAACA